GGCUCAUUCCAUAUUCUCUUAUUAUUUUUUAUGUUCACAUAUAGAUCACAUAUAGAUGGAUCAGUUCAUAUUCUGUAGUUCUUUAAAAUAUUAAGUAUAUAGAAUUCCACAGUUACACAGAAUUUUAUGCUAGAGCCACAACACUUAAUUUUCAUUUAAAUAUUAAAGGAAGUGAAACUUUACAGAGCUCUUUUAUCAGUUACUGCUUUUUAAAUAGAAAGGAGAUCUCACUACAGACAUGAUCACUGAAAGAUACCUGCUAAUCAAAUAGACAUCACACU
rnacentral:lncRNA from 1 species